CUGAGUAUUCUGCUUCCAAUUCACCGGCAGAGAUUUUUCUGGCCUAAGCCAUGGCUCUGACUGCAGCAAACCAAAGCAACGUUGAAGGCGAAGAAGAGUCUGAGGAAAGCGGUUGUGCCGCCUACUCUCGUCGGCAUUCCUUCUCCCGGAAACCUCCAGCCACUCGUCUCACCCUCCAUUAACGCAUCUCUCCUUCUUUACCGGCUAUUCAUCAACCCUAACCUUUUUUUUUUUUUUUUUUUUUCCAUCUCUUUCAAUGUCUCUCAAGCUUUCUCACUCUUUAGGUUAGUCCGGAUCGUUCUUCGUGCUGGCUUCUCAUCGCUUCCGGUUCCCGCGUUUUUGAACUCCAGAUUUCCAUGGAAGAAUAGAAUCAUCAGUCAUCGAGGGAAAGAAUAGCUUACUGAUCCUUGAACAGACGAAGAUUAUGGGACUGACCUUCUCAUCCAUCCACUCUGUUUCCAUUUAUGUCCAGGGAGUUGACUAUGAGGUGUUCUAGGCAGAUGGUGUGAUUCAGGUAGCAUCUUCUAGGCGUAUGUUGCUAACGUCAACGACGACACACCAAAUGGUUUCAUCAAUGGCCUUUCCCGACUACUUCUCUCUGCUGUCUUCUCUUAACGGUACUCUUCCUACUGAUAUCAAUAAUGUUAAGUUAGUUCUAAAGCAGCUAGUUAGGUUUUAGUCAAACAAUCCUUUUAUUUAUUACUCAUCAAUUAUGCAUGUGUCUACUAGUACUGAUCCAGCAGUUUGCUUUAUACAUUGUUUGGUGAUUCUAGUACCCUUGCACAUGAGGUAACCUCUUACUCUACGUAUUAUUUAAGGAACUCAAUAGUAGUUACACUGAUGAGGUUGUACUUUGUUCUCACCCACCCCUUUUUGAAUAAUAGUAAACACCGAUGAGGUUGUACUU